rnacentral:rRNA from 1 species
CCUACGGGAGGCAGCAGUGGGGAAUAUUGGACAAUGGGCGAAAGCCUGAUCCAGCAAUGCCGCGUGAGUGAUGAAGGCCUUAGGGUUGUAAAGCUCUUUUACCAGGGAUGAUAAUGACAGUACCUGGAGAAUAAGCUCCGGCUAACUCCGUGCCAGCAGCCGCGGUAAUACGGAGGGAGCUAGCGUUGUUCGGAAUUACUGGGCGUAAAGCGUACGUAGGCGGUUAUUCAAGUCAGAGGUGAAAGCCUGGAGCUCAACUCCAGAACUGCCUUUGAAACUAGAUAGCUAGAAUCACGGAGAGGUUAGUGGAAUUCCGAGUGUAGAGGUGAAAUUCGUAGAUAUUCGGAAGAACACCAGUGGCGAAGGCGACUAACUGGACGUGUAUUGACGCUGAGGUACGAAAGCGUGGGGAGCAAACAGGAUUAGAUACCCUGGUAGUCCACGCCGUAAACGAUGAUAACUAGCUGUUCGGUCUCUACGAGACUGAGUGGCGCAGCUAACGCAUUAAGUUAUCCGCCUGGGGAGUACGGUCGCAAGAUUAAAACUCAAAGGAAUUGACGGCUGAAGACGNGCGAGACGACGACGAGGGAGAG